GACGACGCUGGCGGCGUGGAUUAGGCAUGCAAGUCGAACGGUAGGAUACCUUCGGGUAUCUGAGAGUGGCGAACGGGUGAGUAACACGUAGGUGAUCUACCCUCAAGAUUGGGACAACCCAGGGAAACUUGGGCUAAUACCGGAUGAAAGCAGCAGUGAUGUUGUUUGAAAGGUGGCGUAAGCUGCCGUUUGGGGGAUGAGCCUGCGCUCUAUUAGUUAGUUGGCGGGGUAAAGGCCCACCAAGGCGAUGAUAGAUAGGCGGCCUUAACGGGUGGUCGCCCACACUGGGAUUGAGAUACGGCCCAGACUCCUACGGGAGGCAGCAGUCGAGAAUAGUCUACAAUGGCCGAAAGGCUGAUAGUGCGACGCCGCGUGAACGAAGAAGCCCUUCGGGGUGUAAAGUUCUUUUAUAUGUGAGCAGUGCUUUCUAUGUGAACAGCAUGGGGAGAGAGAUAUUAGCAUAUGAAUAAGCAACGGCUAACUCCGUG
rnacentral:rRNA from 1 species